GCUGGGUGCCACAGAUCUAUGCUGCACAUAGAUUCUGCAAGGAUGGAAAUAUGAAUAUGCGAUUUUCCCCUUCCUUUUCCAAAUACUUGCAGCUGAGAGAAUCAUAUAUGUAUGUUUUAUACAUCUCUGACCAUAAGUAUUUCAAGCUUUCUUUGACCUGAAUCUCACUGUGGGUCUAAGAAGUUCUUCUGCACUGAGUCCCUGAAAAGUUAGGAAAUAUUGCAAGAAGUAUUUCUGAACCAAGAUGGGAAUAGAAAUCAGAGAACAGUGGUAAGGAAACUUAGAAAUAAAGCAGCAAAUAUCAACCACUAAAAUAAGGUGAACAAAAAUGGAAAGGGAAGAUGAAGAAAUUAGCCACAAGAGAAAAAAACCCUGGAAGGUGUGUGCUUAAGAAAGGCUCACAAAGAGGCACUGAAGAAAAGACAGAGGAAGAGUAUACAAUUCAUGUCUUUGACACUUGUCUUUUGGGGAGCCCCCUGGUUUUCAGAUUUUGCCUCUCACAACUCUGUGCAAGAACCUCUAGUACCAAAGCUCUGAGGGGUUUGCAGGGCCGUGCAGCCAUGUGGACACGACAGAUGUGUGGGGGAAUGACUGCCUCACAAGCACUUGCCAGGGAGCUGCAGAGAAGGGUGGGAUCCCUGAGGGUGGCCAACACCAUGACUGGUCCAAGGCAGUUCAGCUUCCUUAGCUGCUCACAGGCUGGGCACGUGUAGGAAGCCCCAUUGUGGGGUACUCACCUGAGGUUGGUGCCUUCUCCAGGACUAAUGCUCUGCGCACAAUGGAGAAAGCAACGCCUGCUUUGGGCUCACACACCAACUCAGCAACAACAGUAAUGGCACUGACCAGAGCAGCUACAUCUGCUGCAGUCAGCCUCAGAUGCAGGAUGGAGAAGCCAUCUGCUAAUGCAAGUCUGGUUGGAAGCAAAGUUUGAAUGCAUUUCAUAGUGGCAUCUAUCAGAAUAUCUGUUCCAUCAUGACCUCUCGUCCUUCCCAGCAAAUCUCUGUAAAAAGAGCUCCAGUCUACAGUAAGUCAUCCUAGGAGACAUGACAGAUGCUUUAAAGAACAGCUAUUUGCCACUAGUUUAUGCUGACCCCACAUACUGACGUAUUUUAAGUGCAGGGACAGCUCAUACUGCUUUAGCUCCUGCUUCUCUGACUAUGCUGGAGAAAAAAACCUGGCCAUAGACAACUUUCUGCAAUGUACUAAGUAUUAAAAAAAAAAAAAAAAAAAA